CUCUCAGAGAAACCACCAGGAGGAAGCUGCCUGUGAGGGAGAUGAGCUGUCAGCAACACUGCACUCAGAGGACUGCCCUUGCAGAGAGCUGCAAGCAGACAAACCAGAACUCCAGAGCCCCUGGUCUCCUGGCUCAUUUGAAUUUGUCCUCUAGUCUGUUACAUAUUUUUUUCACACGUAUAAUCGUUUGUUUGCAGUCUGGAAAUAUAAAACCAGUCAAGAAACAGAGGCCAGAGUAUUGAUUCCACAUAUAAUUGAUAUCAUAUCCAAGGAAAACCCUAAUUGGAAAAGAUACAUGCACCCCAAUGUUCAUUACAGCACUGUUUAUGAUAACCAAAACAUGAAAGCAACCUAAAUGUCCAUCAACAGAGGAAUGGAUAAAGAAGAUGUGGCACAUAUAUGAAAUACAUAAAUGAAAUACUACUCAGCCAUAAAAAAUAAUGAAAUAAUGCCAUUUGCUACAACAUGGUUGGACCUAGAGAUGAUCAUAGUGAGUGAAGUCUGGACAAAGCUCCCAGGUGACAAUGAUGGGCCUUGUUGGUGUGCAGUGCUGGUGGAACAAAUCUGUGUUCCACCUGUGCAUCUUACUCUCUAUCAAUCAGCACAUCAUCC
rnacentral:lncRNA from 1 species